UCAGUGAGCAGCAGAUCCCCGCUGAGAACUAAGCACUGUAGCGGGGAAGCCACCCCGGCUUUGUUUUCUGCCACUGCAGACUCAUCUGGAAGAAUCAGAGUGUUUUCUCCUUCUCAGCUAGGUGGCCUCCUUUGCGUUUCUGCCAUGGGCUUUCUCUUACCCAUGAGAGUCUCUUUCCUGCUUUGAGGUAGAGGAGACCAUGCCAGGACUGCCAUGUAGGCUGCCCUGAAGAAAACUGCAUGGACUUACUGAGGCUGCCACAUGUUUUACUUUCUAAGAAGAUGAGAUGAGCCCUCCAUGUUUCAAGGCUGAGAACAGGAAUGUGACCAGGACCUGGAGCCUCCAGGACAAAGCUUCCCUGAGGAGCCUGGGCCCUGGGCUUCAGGGCCUCUGCUCUCAGGCCUUGCCCAGAAGAAUGGAAGAUGCAGUGAGGGACCUGGAGGAGAGUGGACUGCUGUGUCUGGGCUUUGCAGCACACAGUGAAAAGCACAGGCUCUGGGAGCUGAUAUUGUGGAGGAUGUCCCUACACCUACAUCAUUUCUACUUCUGCUGAAAGUGUUUUGACAAGGAUGUGCUCGCUGAUGGACAUGUAUAUCCUUUUUAUGGACUGGACAUUGCUGCAUGUGGACUUAUCACUACUACUCUUCAUGUAGAGUAACACGCCAUCUCUCCCACCAGGCUAGCUGUGCCUUCUGCAGUUUGAGAGUGUGCAUGGAGCAAGCUGAGGGGGCAAGAUGCCAGAGCUAGCCCACAGUGCCGGAGCUAGCCCAUGGUAGCAGAGCUAGCCCACAGGAGCUCUGCCCUAGAUCCUCUUUCCAGGUUUUCAGGGAGUGACUCUCUGCAUCCUGACUUCCCCCAGGGCACUGCCUGGUCCCUGUCUACUGUCCUCCCCGACUCACGUGGGAGCCAGUCUGUUCCCCUACAAUCACUUUGCCAUUCUAGAAAGAACCUUAAAAUUAAUUUUAUCUAAAGGGAAAGAAAAAGACCCUCAGUCCUCUCAAUUUUAUUAGGAACUUAUUGAUUUUAAAGAUAAAUACACUGUCCUCUUUUUCUGAUGAAGAGAGAGAACCACAGGACUCCACUUUUCUGAGGCUCAAUCUCGUUCCAGCAUCAGCAUGUUUACCUGGAUCUCCCUAACUGUACAUAUUGUGAAGCACAAAUCAUAUUCCUAAGAAAGAGAGAAAGCUGAAGACUUUUCAGAAACUCUUUUUUUCUUUUGGGACAGAGUUUUGCUCUUGUUGCCCAGGCUGGAAUGCAAUGGUGCAAUCUCGGCUCACUGCAACCUCCGCUUCCCAGGUUCAAGCGAUUCUCCUGCCUAAGCCUCCUGAAGAGCUGGGAUUACAGGUGCCUGCCACCACACCCAGCUAAUUGUUUUUUGUAUUUUUAGUAGAGAUAGGGUUUCUUCAUGUUGGUCAGGCUGGUCUUGAACUCCCAACCUCAGGUGAUCCACCCACCUUGGCCUCCCAAAAUGGUGAAACUCAUAUUUUAAAUAACAAAGUAGAGACGAUAUAGACACAGAGCUUAGAUUCAUCAUGCCAUACUUUGCAUUUUCUCACCUCAUUUCUAUGUUUACAACCAACUUUUGAC
ensembl:lincRNA